rnacentral:rRNA from 1 species
UACGAAGGAUGCAAGCGUUAUCCGGAUUCAUUGGGUUUAAAGGGAGCGUAGGUGGCCUUAUAAGUCAGUGGUGAAAUCUCGCAGCUCAACUCCGGAACUGCCAUUGAUACUGCUUAACUUGAAUCAACUUGAGGUGGAUGGAAUAUUACAUGUAGCGGUGAAAUGCUUAGAUAUGUAAUAGAACACCGAUUGCGAAGGCAGUUCACUAAGGUUGUAUUGACACUGAGGCACUGAAAGCGUGGGGAUCAAACAGGA